ACGGCUGGCAGAAGGGCGUUAGCUCGAAUUUCAGGUCAAAAAUCGAUUUUUGAUAUUUCAUGUCAUUUAAUAGAGUUUUCAAAGCUCUUUCAAAUGAUGUGAUCGAGAUGGCAUAAAACGAAGUAAAUGAUUACGUAAUCGACAAUAGUAAAAGGGCGUUAGCACAAACUGUCAGAUAUCGCGCUAAGCAGAAGGGCGUAAGCCCUCUACGCCCUUUGCAUAUUAGGCGCGAGCGUAAAUUUUGAUCAAAGCAGAAGGGCGUUAUCGCGAAGCUGACGUCUGCUAGGCCUGUGGAUUUGCACAGGUAGGCUGCAGCAUGGAGCCAACAAGAGAAUUGCUUGUUCAGUGGAACAAAGAUGGCUCCAAAAAAUGUGGUAGUGUAUGGAGAUAUAUUCAAUGUCCCUGUAUUCCAAUAAAAGGGACAAAAGUCUUCAUGCCUUGGAAAGGCAGGAGAUGGGAGGGAGUUGUCCUGUCAGUGGAUGAUGAGUCUGAGGAAAGUGAUGAUGACAGCAUACCAGAUCAACCAAGGCUUGACGUUGGAGAUGUCGGUGUCGGUGUCAGAAUGACAGACCAUGGACCUCUACCAGAUCAACCAAGGCUUGACGUUGGAGAUGUCGGGUCACAAUGACAGACAUGCCUCAUUGAAGUUCAAAUGUGUCAACAUUUCAUAUGUUUACAUGAAGUGUUUAGUACAUGCUCCCAGUGUCUUGUUUCCCUGUGUGAACACCACUUCAAAGAGGACAACCCAUGUGCAAACCACAAUAACUAUGCUCAUCUACUUCAAAUUCCGGAGAGGUUUUCAGAAGAUCAUCCAGCGAUCGACACAGUUCUGGAAUUGAUGACGGUUGUUCCCUUAGCAAUCGAAGUGCAGGAGACAGUUGACAUAGUUUCAAGUUAUCCAAGCAGACAGUGAAGGUAGUACUGAAAAAUAUUAAUGUCUCAAAUGUCACCAAUUUGAGGUUGUAGUUUACAGUGGGCAUUGUCUUUAGGAAUUAUAAGUCAGUUUGUUGGAAUUAUGCUGUUGCAGACACCUCUACAAUAUUCAUUUAUCAAAACAACAACCUCUUAAGCUAUCUUUUGAACCAUUUAUUUCUCCUACAAUAUUUACUUCAAAAAUGGGUUUUACAUUUCUAUGUCAUAAAGUUUAUUCUUGUGUACUUUACAGAG